AUUGAACGCUGGCGGCAUGCUUUACACAUGCAAGUCGAACGGUAACAGGUUAAGCUGACGAGUGGCGAACGGGUGAGUAAUGCAUCGGAACGUGCCCAGUCGUGGGGGAUAACGCAGCGAAAGCUGCGCUAAUACCGCAUACGAUCUGAGGAUGAAAGCGGGGGACCGUAAGGCCUCGCGCGAUCGGAGCGGCCGAUGUCAGAUUAGGUAGUUGGUGGGGUAAAGGCUCACCAAGCCGACGAUCUGUAGCUGGUCUGAGAGGACGACCAGCCACACUGGGACUGUGACACGGCCCAGACUCCUACGGGAGGCAGCAGUGGGGAAUUUUGGACAAUGGGCGCAAGCCUGAUCCAGCAAUGCCGCGUGCAGGAAGAAGGCCUUCGGGUUGUAAACUGCUUUUGUACGGAGCGAAAAAGCUCUCUCUAAUACAGGGGGCUCAUGACGGUACCGUAAGAAUAAGCACCGGCUAACUACGUGCCAGCCGCCGCGGUAAGAC
rnacentral:rRNA from 1 species